GGAGAGGUGUCCGAGUGGUUUAAGGAGGCGGUCUUGAAAACCGUUGUGCCCUCGCGGGUACCGUGGGUUCGAAUCCCACUCUCUCCG
rnacentral:tRNA from 3 species